CUGGCGGCGCGUCUUAAGCAUGCAAGUCGAACGGCAAGAGGUAGCAAUACCUCCUAGAGUGGCGGACUGGUGAGUAACACGUGGGUGACAUACCCUUCAGAUGGGGAUAGCUAUUAGAAAUAGUAGAUAAUACCGAAUACGAGCACAGGGGUUAGAGAUCUGUGAGGAAAGGAGCUAAGGCUCCGCUGAAGGAAUGGCCUGCGGCCCAUUAGCUAGUUGGUGAGGUAAGAGCCCACCAAGGCGAUGAUGGGUAUCCGGCCUUAGAGGGUGAACGGACACAUUGGGACUGAGAUACGGCCCAGACUCCUACGGGAGGCAGCAGCUAAGAAUAUUCCGCAAUGGACGAAAGUCUGACGGAGCGACGCCGCGUGGAUGAAGAAGGCCGGAAGGUUGUAAAAUCCUUUUGAAACUGAAGAAUAAGCGUUGUAGGGAAUGACAGCGUGGUGACAGUAGGUUUUGAAUAAGCAACGGCUAAUUACGUGCCAGCAGCCGC
rnacentral:rRNA from 1 species